rnacentral:misc_RNA from 1 species
CUAUACCCACUUGAAAACUCAACAUCAUGUGGAGGUUCUUGUUUGUUAGAUCCCAUAUCCAUGUAUGAACAAUACCCAUUUGGAAUCCUAGUAGCAAAGUUUAUCUUUUCGGAUUUUGUCGCAGCUAAAGCAUGAUUAAACAUGAAAUUUGGGGGUGAAUCUAUACCAUUCUUUUGAUUGAUCUUCAAUUUCAAAAAAUUCUGAUCCAUCAUUGUUUUUAAAGCAUACCCAUCACCAGAAACAGCAGUAACCGCUUGUUGUUUCUCGGCGAUUUGUUGAUUAUUAGAUCUGAUUGCUGCAACAGUAGUACCAUUUUCCAUGGCGUCCAUGUUAUCAAAGAAGAACCAAGAUGAGAAAAACCUACCGGUAGGACAGGAAAGGGAUCUCUGUUUCUCAGCACGGUAGCGUUGCCGGAGUUUUUCCAUUUUGUGUCGGCACUGAGCUGAUGUUUUCGCCGGAGAAGCAUCUGGGCAGCGGCUGGUCACGGUAGCUGCCACCGCAUCCCAAUCCGCCGUCCGUAGGUACCCGCGGCGGAGCGCGUACCAUCGUUCACGGUAGGCUUCAAUAAGAGCUAAAGUCUCUUCUUGGGUCCAACACGGCGGUGGAAAUCUCCUCACCGGCGGCGGUGGCUUCUCCUCCGGGACGGCAUCUUCUGCUACUACGACGGUAGAAUCAACGUUAGACGACAUCCUUUAAUGGUGUGAGUGUGGUUUU